CAGUUCGAAUUUUGAGCACAAGAAAACAGUUCCAGUGCUCCCAUAUUGAAGGCAGUCUAGCAUAAUGACCAGUCUUGAAAAUCUGAUUGUUUUUUGGUUUUUAGUGUUGAAAGCUUAGGUUAAAUUAUGUCCCACUGACAUCAGAAGUGGAACUAGAAUGAUUGAAGAGGAGUCUGAAUUUCACUGUUGAAGUUUGAUUAUGUAGCCUUUGUCAAGCAGACUCAUGAAGAAGUUGAGCCAGAUUUUGUAGAUGUGGCAGAAACAAUGUCCGCGGUGGUUUUCAAGGAGGUUUAUGAGUCUAGAGGCAAAGAAAACUUGCACUCUGAAUUUGACAAAGCUGCUCUGAGCUGGCACUUGUAAUACCCCAGGAGACAGGAUUUUAUAUGAUUUGACUGGAACCAAUAGGUCUAGAGAUGCCCCAGUCUAUUUGCCGUUCCUCAGUCACCUCGGAAGCUCGCCACUUUACUACUGGAACUUCACUCAGGGUGCAGACUUUGUCCCCAAAAGAGUCUGUGUGAUGGGCUGGGUACACAAUGCUCCAUUGUUUUGAGCUCCUCCAAACUCUAUGCUGUAAUCCAGAAGUUAGUGUUUUCAGGAUCCAUGUGUGAGUGGAAUGUCCUGCUCUGUGGCUGCCAUAUUCUCUUGUCGUUUGUACAGCCUUUUGCUUGUCUUCAUUACGAACAGUGACUGUGGCUACGCAGUCAUCUGUAUUUAGAGAAAUUUUUUUUGAGUCUGUAAGUUCUCCACUUAAGAAAUAUAUUAGGGCUGAAGGUCAAAGGAAGAAGACAUUAAACCUUUGCUCACUUAUGGCAAUUACUCUGGAGACAACCACUGCUUGGAAAACAAGUAUUAUGAGCUACCUGUAAGUUCUGAUUCACCUAAUAGAUAAGGAGCCAGAGAUACUUCUGAACUCACAAAUGAAUUUUUUUUCACAAUGUAAUGAUUGAGCUCAUUACCUGCUGCUCUUUUAAAUGUAAAGCAAAGAGUGAAGUGCUCAUAUAUUCUGUGUAUAACAGCUGACAUGUUUUCUGCAUUCCUCUAUUUGCCUAAAAAGUCAUGGAUAAUCAACUUAAUUUGAUGUGCAAAAUAUAAUGCAUGGAUGAAUUCUGAUACAUAGCUCUUGCCAUGUCUCUGCUGUUAUGAGAAGCAAAGACUACCAGAAAAGAAACAGUCAUGAAAUUCUUCCCGAUAAUUUUGCCAUCAGUUUUUCUCCAAUAAUAUAUUUGUAGGUGGAUUCUACAGAUGUUUUUUCCCCCUGAGUGGCUGGUACUAUAUAUGAGUUAUAUUUCUCACUGUCCUUGCUGUAUUAGUAAUCAAACCUAUCCUAUCAUUUCAGAUGUUCAGUCACUAUAUUCUAACUAAGAAAAGCUAACUUGAAACAUUUACUUUUCAAACCUUUUUUAUUAUUUAAUUGUAUGCUUAAAAUAAUAAUAAAAAUUUCCUACAUAUGUUACA
rnacentral:lncRNA from 1 species